CACCGCCUGGGGAGUACGACCGCAAGGUUAAAACUCAAAUGAAUUGACGGGGACCCGCACAAGUAGUGGAGCAUGUGGUUUAAUUCGAAGAUACGCGCAGAACCUUACCAACACUUGACAUGUUCGUCGCGACUCUAAGAGAUUAGAGUUUUCGGUUCGGCCGGACGAAACACAGGUGCUGCACGGCUGUCGUCAGCUCGUGUCGUGAGAUGUUGGGUUAAGUCCCGCAACGAGCGCAACCCUUACUUUUAGUUGCUACCAUUUAGUUGGGCACUCUAAAAGAACUGCCAGUGAUAAGCUGGAGGAAGGCGGGGAUGACGUCAAGUCCUCAUGGCCCUUAUGUGUUGGGCUACACACGUGCUACAAUGGUACCCACAAUGAGAAGCAAAGAGGCGACUCUAAGCCAAUCUUUAAUAGGUACCUCAGUUCGGAUUGUACUCUGCAACUCGAGUACAUGAAGCUGGAAUUACUAGUAAUCGCGGAUCAGCGCGCCGCGGUGAAUACGUUCCCGGGUCUUGUACACACCGCCCGUCACACCAUGGAAGUUGGUUACACCUUAAGGCAAAAUGUUAACCUUCGGGAAACAUUUGACUACGGUACGAUCAGCGACUGGGGUGAAGUCGUAACAAGGUAGCCGUAGGGGAACCUGCGGCUGGAUCACCUCCUUUCUAAGGAAAUCGAGAAUAAUUUGUCGAUUUAAAAAAAAGCGGUAAUGUGACCGUCCUCAUUUCUCUUCUUUUUAAUAUCUCUGAGUAAAAAUAGUGUAAGGGGCCGGUAGCUCAGGUGGUUAGAGCGCACCCCUGAUAAGGGUGAGGUCGGAAGUUCGAGUCUUCCUCGGCCCACCAAUAAUUUUAGGGGGAUUAGCUCAGCUGGGAGAGCGCCUGAUUUGCAUUCAGGAGGUCAGCGGUUCGAUCCCGCUAUCCUCCACCAAGAAACACUUAGUUAUUUUUUUUGUGAAUAUGUUUAUAAUUAUUAUCAAUAUCUAUAUCCGAACAUUAAUUUGUUUAUUAAUGUUCAAACAAAAAUUUGAUUCAACGCAGAAUUUUUUUCUG
rnacentral:sRNA from 1 species